CCUUGAUAGCGUAAAAGUUAACUCAAAUUUGUAUAGAGUUGGAACGCCUACGUUUGCCGCCAGGGGCGCUGUUCCAACUGCAUACAAGUUUGAGUUAACUUUUACGCUAUCGA
rnacentral:pre_miRNA from 9 species